rnacentral:rRNA from 1 species
AGAGAGAGACAUGCGCGCAUAUCAAUAAGCGGAGGAAAAGAAAGCUAACUAGGAUUCCCCUAGUAACUGACGAGUGAAGCGGGAAGAGCUCAAAUUUGAAAUCUUCAAGGUUCUACCUUGACGAAUUGUAGUUUAAAGAAGUGUUUUCGGUUAGAGGAGUAGUAAAAGUUCUUUGGAAUAGGACAUCAUAGAGGGUGAGAAUCCCGUAUUUGACUAUUCUUUCUAGCUUUGUGAUACACUUUCAAAGAGUCGGAUUGUUUGGGAAUGCAGUCCAAAAUGGGUGGUAAAUUUCAUCUAAAGCUAAAUAUUGGCGAGAGACCGAUAGCGAACAAGUACCGUGAGGGAAAGAUGAAAAGAACUUUGAAAAGAGAGUUAAACAGUACGUGAAAUUGUCAAAAGGGAAGCGUUUAACACCAGUGUUGUUUUUCCGAAAAUCAAUUAAAAAUGGAUUCAUGCUAGGUAGUAUUGACUUCAUCGGCUUGCUGCUUAGUUUUGGGUUCUUUUUUGAUGCACUUUUCGGUUAACAAGUCAACAUCAAUUUCUUUUGUUGUAAAAGAGUCAUUGGAAGGUGGCUUUCUUUUCGGAGAAAGUGUUUAUAGCCUUUGACUUCUGCAAUCGGAGAGAUUGAGGUCUGCAGCGUAGAUCCUUCGGGGUUAGAUACAUUUGUGCUAAGCUAUAGCCUUUCAUAGACAACUUGUUGACUAUGAUCAGUCAUGUAGCUUACUCGCUUAUGCUAUUUUACCUACGCUUAGGAUGUUGACAGCAGUAUAGACUGU